rnacentral:rRNA from 3 species
CACCGGCAGCUCUAGUGGUAGCUGUUUUUAUUGGGCCUAAAGCGUUCGUAGCCGGUUUAAUAAGUCUUUGGUGAAAUCCUGUAGCUUAACUAUGGGAAUUGCUGAGGAUACUGUUAGGCUUGAGGUCGGGAGAGGUUAGCGGUACUCCCAGGGUAGGGGUGAAAUCCUGUAAUCCUGGGAGGACCACCUGUGGCGAAGGCGGCUAACUGGAACGAACCUGACGGUGAGGGACGAAAGCUAGGGGCGCGAACCGG